rnacentral:rRNA from 1 species
CCUACGGGAGGCAGCAGUGGGGAAUAUUGGACAAUGGACCAAAAGUCUGAUCCAGCAAUUCUGUGUGCACGAUGAAGUUUUUCGGAAUGUAAAGUGCUUUCAGUUGGGAAGAAGUCAGUGACGGUACCAACAGAAGAAGCGACGGCUAAAUACGUGCCAGCAGCCGCGGUAAUACGUAUGUCGCAAGCGUUAUCCGGAUUUAUUGGGCGUAAAGCGCGUCUAGGCGGCUUAGUAAGUCUGAUGUGAAAAUGCGGGGCUCAACCCCGUAUUGCGUUGGAAACUGCUAAACUAGAGUACUGGAGAGGUAGGCGGAACUACAAGUGUAGAGGUGAAAUUCGUAGAUAUUUGUAGGAAUGCCGAUGGGGAAGCCAGCCUACUGGACAGAUACUGACGCUAAAGCGCGAAAGCGUGGGUAGCAAACAGGAUUAGAUACCCCAGUAGUCC